UUAGCUGACCUGGCAUACACAGAUGUGUGCUUCAAAAUAUGUAUACAUGAGUGUGUGUGCGAUUGUAACAUUUCAUUGCUUCACUUGUUAUCAGCUGAGCAAAACAGUAUUAUGAUGUUUGCAUUCCUUGUGGAUGUUAUGACCUGUAACUCUACACUGCUGAAAAAUGUCUUGAGGAAGAAAGUGAAGGAAGAAGCAAAAUGGUUUGUGAUGUCUUUUGCAGAAUUAAUUAAUCUAUUUAAAAAUGGUUCCAAUAAUAUGGAGCUG